CAUGUUGCAGCUGGGAGCAAGGGGAAACCUGGACACGCACUUUACCAAAAUGAGACAACUGUGGCAGGAGACAGGCUAAGAGUGAAAAUCAGGACACAGAGCUGUAUACAUCCAGGGAGAACGUCAUCUGGAGAUGAAAACAGAGAUCAGAGUGAUGCAUCUCCAAGCCAUGGAAUACUGAAGAUGGUGAGCAACCCACCAGAAGCCAGGAGACAGCUGAAGAAAUGGAGGUGCUACUGGCUCAAGGAACCUGGAUUCAUUUAGAGAGUGUGCCCAGGAUGAGACGUGUGGAGAGCCUGGC